GCGUAACAGAAGCAGAGUAAUCUUAAGCUCAAAACUCAAAAUCUGCAGAAGAACUAUAUCAUAAUUAAUCGAUAAGGCCAAAGCUUAAGCUUCACUUUGCUUACUUCUCGAGGUGAAGAGAAAAGGAGGAAUAAAAUGAGAAAGAAGGUGGACGAGCGUAUCAGAACUCUCAUUGAAAAUGGCGUCAAUUUACGGCACCGUUCUAUGUUCCUCAUCAUCGGUGACAAGUCGCGCGACCAGAUUGUUAAUCUUCACUAUAUGCUAAGCAAGGCAGUGGUCAAAUCCAGGCCAACUGUCUUAUGGUGCUAUAAAGACAAGCUUGAACUUAGCAGUCACAAGAAAAAGAGAGCGAAACAGAUAAAAAAGCUAAUGCAGAGGGGACUGUUGGAUCCUGAGAAAGUUGAUCCUUUUUCACUUUUUGUUGAAACCGGAG
rnacentral:misc_RNA from 1 species